GGAAGUUAUCAGUCAAUGAACAGCAACAACGUGUGAAUUGAGGACACACCAUCGCUGAUAACAAGCUCUUUAAGUUGCUAAAGUUCCUGGUUUGAUAGAAGCACAAGGUUAGUAUAUGCUUCUUUUCUCAGACAAAUUAAUAUGAAGUACCUAUAUAACAUUUUUGAGAAGUUUGGUCGAGUUACGUGUUGCAGAGUAUUAGCAAAUAUGCUAUAGUGAUGAUGAUGGUCAUGGUUAAUACAGACGUGAUUCAUGUAGUUCCAUUUUAUUCAUGGUAAAGCUCUAUGCCUGCAUUGAAAUGAUGUCUAAAAAUUUCUUUCAUGUUAUUUGGUUAUUAAAGGAGGUGAAUUCAUGUGUUAGUUUAAGCUAAUCCUAACUAGUUAAAGCACUCUGAUUUGAGGUUGUCAUUUUGCUAAAAACAAGGAAGUUAAGUUCAUCAUUCUUGACGGUUUAAAGAAUAUAUAAUUUGAAAAGGUUAUUGAACACAUAAUUUAAAGGGCUAAAAGUAUUUUCUUAUGACAGAAAGUGUAUUAAUACGGCUCUUAUUAUUUUCUUUAGCUCCUACGGUGUGUUCACACUAUUCAUGGAUGUCAAAAGGAACUGCUGUAAAUAAAACUUUGUGAACCAUCAGUUGCAGAGUCAGAUCAUAAAUCAACUGGGUAUGCUACAGUAUGUGAUGGGCUAUUUCAGAGAGACCUGGUUCUGACCUACUUCAUCUUCUUAGUUGGCAGAGAUUCCCGUCUUUGUAUUUAAAAUCUCUUUAGGAAUGAUAAUUCAGUUCCUGAGGUGGAAACAGAGAGGGCUCUAUCUGCUACAGUAUAUUGGAGUUCAAGUCUAAAGAAAGCUGAGAGAUGAGGCCGGCCUGACCCCACUCAACAGUGUUUCUUAUAAGACUCUAUGUAUGACCUCUGCAUUUAAACUAUGUAAAACAUGGGUUCUGCAUUGUAUACGUAUUAAGACUUAAAUACCAGUAUUAGGAAAUAUACUGAAUGUAAUUUUCACUACCAAGCUGAAAAAGCCUGGAGACCAGGGUUUAUAAUUUAAGUGUGAGCUAUUUCCAGAGGUUGAUUUUCAAAGUUGAGCCCAUAACUUACUUUUUAUUUCAUUAAGGGGAACCUUCCCAAAAGUACAAAUAAGGUUGUAUCUGAUCUAAUCUAAUCUAAUCCAAUCAAAUUAUAUCCCCGAGAGCCUGCGACCAUUGCUGUGGCAACCUUUGAUUGAAACACCACUCACUUAUACUGACUUCACCUCCUGGAACCACCACUUGCACAGUAGCAGUGUACGCACUCGGCAGGAGAGUCACCGAGGGUCCUUGUGAUGACGCUUGGCUCAAACAGCGUAUCUCCUGGUUGAGCAAUCUUCUUACACCCAUUGGCUGUAUCAAGUGUCAAUCAUAGAAAACACGAAGCCCCUAAUAACUUUUAAAAAUGGCGCUGUACAGAAAAAAAGAGGACUUGGGCACAAACCAGUCUUACAAUAACUACAUAUCAACAUCACAACCAGGGGGAAGAAAAAAUUAUAUUCUUUGUAAUACAUUUCUAAAGUUUGUCUACAGCUCCAUGGGGAUGGAUGGAGGAGGCUGGAUUUAUGACCUGUACUGCAGCCCAUCACCAGAGGGUGCUGUUCUCACGGUGGCUUCACCCAGCAAGGAGGCAGACGUCGCCCAUUCCAUAUACAGUCUAUGGCCACAUGUGGUUCCCAAAAUGAAUAGACACUCAAAAGGUUCAGUGCAUAGUGUUUUUUAGCAGUCUUAGUGCCUUUUUGGCGCAAUAUGUCAAACAAUAUAACAAACAAUAUGAAAUAAUGUUUGUUUCUCACCAAAUGCAAACUGUCUGUAUUAGUCUCUGUUCCUGUUAAAGCUUGAUAGAGAUUGAAGCCAUGAUUAAGACAUGAUAAAACAUGCUCCUUAUUAUUUGUUUCCUUGUGUUUACAGCCUUUAACGAAAGCAAAAAGAAGGCAUAAAGAGUCAGGACCAACAGCAGAAGCAGAAGCAGAGCCGUCAUUCAGACAUCCUGCAGUGUGUCACUCUUCCAAAUAAAUGGGUAACUGCCAUUAAAACCAGCAUAUCUAAUAUUAAGAAGUCAAACUGUAUGCUGUCUGUUGAUAUGGAUUUAGAGGUCACAGGUUUUGCAACAUUUUUUCCAGAUAAAUUGCAGCAGCUGACAUUCAGGAUGUACUUUGUAGCUGCCGUGUCAAACAGUGAGGGUUUAAUCAUCCUAAAGAACCAAACCUGACAUCCUGAGAGGUGUGAUCACACUCCGCUCAGUGUUAGUGUGUGAGUGGCUGAACACAUGCAGAGAGUGUUAUCUACCCUGCAGAUUAAGACUAAUUCUGCAGCACUCGCUCUCUAAUGCAAAUCCCUGAAGCUGUGAAAGUUCUCUGACACUCUGAAAACAUUAGCUGAAGAUUUUUCUGCUGUAGAAAAGUCAAUAUAUACAAGAACGGCUUUCAAAUUAAAUUUCUUCUCUGUUCUUUUAUCUCAUGCAAAUGGCUCCAGGCAGCAUUGCUCCUUUCUUACAGGCUGUUGAUUGUGAGAUAAGUGUGCUCUGGUGUGGCCUUAAGAUCAUUGACUGAAACUGAGACUCUUGGAACUAUCUUACAGGGACCGGGACCUCUCAUGAUUCUCAGGUCAGUAGUGAAUAACGAGGGGACACAGAGCAGUUUGCAUAGUGCCACUCAAAACUGCUUGAGAUAAAGAGGGGAGGGGGUAGAGACAGGAACCAGGGUUUUACAGAGGUUAGAAAUCCUCCACUGGGCUCUAUAUGUGCCCAUGAUAGGAUGUCACAUUGCUGUUUUUUUUUUUUUUCCUGUAGCACAUGAGCAGAAUCCCACACCCCUUCUGAACCUAACUAAAGAGGAAACAGGAGGGGUGUUUGGUAAUGUGGAGGCUCUGCUAGGCUGUGGACAGAGCUGCUCUGAUGAUUUCAAAAACAGCUCAGCCUCCAGCAGAAAUCUGUCUCCAUUUAUUUUUUAUCAGUGAUAUAAGCCUCCCUUUAUUGAAACCUGACUCCACUUUAUUUGGACCUUAUCGUUUUAACUUCUGUUUUGUGAGCUAGUCGUUGACUACGUAUGGAAGAUGGAGAAAAUUUGUGUCCACAGGCUGUUGUGCUCAGCUAAAUUUCCUCUUAAACAGUAUUGCAGAUCUGUACCUCUGUCCUGUCUUAAGGUCUCCCUCCGGAACCCAAAACAACCCCCCUCCCCACCCAAAAAAAAGCCUUUCAAGAGCUUUUCAAGAGACUUCAACAGGCUCUGCUGUCAUCUCUGCUGUAUUUAGACAUCAGUAUGCUUCAGUGCAGCACUCUGCUGAAGCACUGACCUUCUAUAGUUCAUCCUCCAUGUGAAGGCUGCUGUUGGUCGUCUUUACUGCAUGUUAUGAACUAGACUAGGAGAUACAGGUAUUUAUUCUAACAGUAAUUUAAUCAAACUCAAUUGAAAUCAUUCAACAUAUUGAGAUAAGUUUUUCUACAUUAUUUGUGCUGCAGGUCAUAGUUAUCCAAAUUAAAGUGGAAACAUGUAGGAAAUUAUUGACAUUUCUUGUGUAACAAGUUUCUAGUGAAUUCAUGUGCUGACAUCAUGAAUCCACUAUCAGCUAAUAUGAGUUACUUUAAUUCAGGCUUUAACUGCUUCUAAUCUUUAAGGAGUUUUUAUAGAUUGACUACACAAGCACAUACACAAAUAUAAAAUUCAUUUUUGUUCAUAACUAACCUCAGUCAGUACCUUUAUACGCAUGUUAACUGUGAGCAUAUGCUCCAUCAGGCCAUUUAACUGGACUAUUCUCUUUUUCCCAGCAAAAAACUGGGCAGUUCAUAAAGUCUUUAAAAACAAACACUUAACACAUACUGAGAAAUCUAGACCAUUGAACAGGAGGGCUCUGUCACCUCAUAAACUAAAAGGAGACCUCAGCUCUUCCUCACUGUAUUUGUAUUUGUAUUUAUUUAUUUAGCACAGAUUCAAACAGUGCAAGGAGGGAACAAAGCUGAUAGGCUUAUACAAAGUUCCACUCCCGUCAGGGCAGAGAAAGCAUAAGGUGCAGACAACUAAAUAACUAGGACAUAGACAGAUUACACAUGUACGAUGAUUAGGGAAAGGUCAAACAGAUACAAAUUGCCAUAAAUGAAACACAGACUAAUCAUCAAACAGUGAUAAAGACAAUAUAAGUAUUGGUGGUUACUAUGUUUCUGGUUUAAAACUGAUGUUGAUCCACAUUUAAAUGGGUGUUUGGUUAUCAGGAUAGAAAAUCAAUGAUUGCUGUCACAGGUCUGCACAUUCUUUAUGAUAGGGGGGAGGGGGGGAUUGGGCUUAUUAUUCUUUAUUCUUUUUUUUAUUCUUUUCUUUAGUUUUAUAGGUAGCUAAUGAGACACAGAUGUGCAGCUCUUUCAAAUCUCCAGGCCUGCAGGCUGAUUCCCUGCUCCCUUCACAUUUAUGUGAGUGAGCACCAGAACAUCUCAGACAUAAUGCUUUUUUUCUUUUUUCCUACUAAGCAAUUAGCUAAGUUAAACCUGACAAAUGAUAAUGAUAGUCCGAUAAUUGAACAUCUUUGCAAACUGCCUUCUUCUGUGCUCUAAGUCUUGAGUCAGAGAAGUUGAGUUUGAAAUAUGCAAAGAAACCCUUUUUUUAACUGAGAAAAGCAUCCCCAGUUUAACUGUAUGCAGGGAUAUAUGUGAUGAACAAAAACUAAUUAAACUGGCCUUUAACUUUGUUAACCACCUGUGGGCUUUAUUUACUACCUUUAAUUUGUUUAAAGGUGAAGGAGGAGAUCAUACUGUGGUAACAAAGUCGUCCUCUGAGGGGAAAAUCUCAUUAUACCUCACAGAGUCAUGCUGUGCUGUGGGAAAUCAAUAAUGUUGGAGUUUCUCUGAGUAUUAAGACACUAAAAGGACUUUGACCUUUGAUCUCUGAUUCAUUACCUUCCUGGAUGUAUGCUCUGUGAUGAGAUAUUUGUUAAUGGCUGAUUAGAUGUUGAUUUUGGCAGGUGAUAUUUGUGUACAUGCAGAGUGAAAUGAUGAUAAAUGUGCUGUUUGUCACCAUGAGAAGUACCUUGCUGUGCAAAAAUGAAGUCUCUUUCAGUUUGUGUCCUCAGGUUUAAUCAUGUACACAGACAAUAAUCAUUAAUUUCCUCUUUAAAACAUGUUAACUGAAACCUUAAUGAUAAUGUGGAUGUUUUCUCGCCAAGACCAAAGCAAAAUCCAUGAACAGGAGCCUGGCCAGCAUAUCUAUUCAUGAGGCAAUAGUCAUGGAUGGGAAAAAGAGAAACUGCAGUGUCAACACCUGCACUUUCUCCUGAGUGAGUCUGAGCUGCUGCUGCUGCUGAAACUGAGAAACUCAGGGAUUGUUGUUGGAGCUGUUACCUCCACAUGUUCUGAUAAUUGGUGAUAUCGAUCUGGUUUCUUCAGCUAGAACAAGGACAGACCUUCAGCAUCCAGCCUGAUGAGGACUGUGUUCACCAAUCUGCACGUCUGACAGUUCACUCCUUCAUCCUCACAGACUUUGUGAAGCUGAUUUCUGUUUGUUCAGUGGAAAAUACUGGCAUGUGGUCCUCUUUGUCCUGCUGUGAAGAUUCUUUAAUGCAGUUUUUAUGAAAUCUCCCUGUCUCUACCUGAAGCUAUUUCCAUUUUUUAAAGUUCCUCCACAUUCAAAUGUUAUUUUACCAAAACAAAAACAGACAGAAAAGGCAGGAAUAAGUGAUAUCUCACCUGGAAAAAGCGUAGAGGAACUGCUGGGUCUGCUGCUGUGUUUCUAACAAAGAAAUAGUCUGUCUGGUAGAGACUGCGGAAGAAUGAGAGAGGGGGAAAGAGAGGAGGAAGACAGAGAGUUUUGGUGGUCGAGCUUCCACCAAUGACUCCAUAAUCUGGCAGAUAUGAAGAUAUAUGAAAUGAAGAGGGCCAAACUAUGACUUAAGCACAAAAUAAAGGUUAAAUAUCACAGAAAUGAGGUGCAAUGGGUCUGUUUACAUUAACGAAGUCCAAGCUUGUUGAUUAUGUUUUUGUCCUUUAUGUUUUAAUGAUGAAUUUGAAUUUUCAAAUUUACACAGCACUUUGCUUAGUAUGUGGAGAGUCACUGUUUAUUAUCAUCAGUGCCUCUGCUGUCAGAUCUGUGCUCCUCUAAUAUUGCACCAGAAACAGCUGGGGGCCAGAUAAGUAAUCCCCUUAAAGUCUGUCCUACUGUGUGGUGAUUUUACUGAUAUUUGUUGUUCAUUUCUUGUUCAGUUUCAGGCAUCAUUACUGCUCAAGGAGUCUAUUGUGGUGCCAGUGGCCAGGAGCAAAUCAGCCCAAGAGCUUAAUUGAAGUUCCUUACACUUCACUGGUGAUGAAACAAACGUGUCGACUACCUUGGGGUAACCAUAUUUUGAGUAAAGAAAACCAAGACAAAAACCAGGACUUGUCCUGGCAAUGAGAUACUCUCUAUCUUUAGUUUUCUUCUCCAUCCUAGUGGCCCGAUAAAAAGCAAUGAAAACCAGGACAACUCCAUCACUUUAUAGAGAACAACCAGGACUGCCCUGACAGAACGUAGGAGAAAGGACAUUUGGUCACCUUAUACUACCUGCACAGACAUGGGCCAGUAGAUAAAACAUG